CGCCAAACAGUUUUCAGAUACAACUCUUCCCAUUUUAUGGAUUAACACUCCAAUGGGGGCUUUAUCACAAUAUCAUUAAUUUGGACUACAUGCUAGCAUGUGCCUUUCAAAAAUUGUUAAGGGUGGGAUAAUUCCCCAAACUUCCCCUUCCAGUGCGAUCAUAGCUUUUACCUCAAGCGCAUGCAUACAAAUAAGUUUCAGCAAAAUCAUUAACGAGAAAAGAAAGCAUACCCCCAGCAGCAACAAGUUUCUC
rnacentral:misc_RNA from 1 species